CCCAAGACGCAAUCCUGCUCUACGUCUGUGUCUCCAUCAGAGAAGCUACGCGUUUAGAGUUUAAAAUCGCGCACUCCUGAUAAUUGCUCACUUUUGGACAUAGUGAAAGAAUAGAAGAGGAAGAUCGCAGACAUCCCUGAAAAAGAGAAUGAGAUACCUGGGGGUAUGAUGAAGGAGUACCGCACCUGGGAAAACAAA